UCUCCGUAGGUGAACCUGCGGAGGGAUCAUUACAGAGUUCAUGCCCUACCGGGUAGAUCUCCCACCCUAUGUUAUUAUUACUUUGUUGCUUUGGCGGGCCGUUAGGCUCCGGCCCGACUACCGGCCCCGGCUGGUAAGCGCCCGCCAGAGGACCCAAAACCCUGAAUAUUAGUGUCGUCUGAGUACUAUAUAAUAGUUAAAACUUUCAACAACGGAUCUCUUGGUUCUGGCUUCGAUGAAGAACGCAGC
rnacentral:misc_RNA from 1 species